rnacentral:piRNA from 2 species
UGAAUGGAUGAAUGGGUGGAUGACACCGGA